UCUUCGUAGACAUUUUCUAAAACAGCAGUUUUAAACAAACCGAACAGAUCCGAAAACAAACGUUGUUUUUUUUUAAAAAAAAAAAUUUGUUUUUCGUAAUUUUCUCGGAUUCGUUAAAAAAAUAAAAAUAAAUUUAAAAAGAUUUGCUUUCACGCAUUUCACCCACCACUCUCUCAAUUCACACAUCUUCCAUACACCACACGCUCGCUUCUCUUAUCCUUCCCCUGCUAUAUAUACGCGCUCUUCCUCCCCCCCCUUUCUCCCUCCUCCUCUCUUCCUCAUUCCUUCGCUUUCGCUGGAGAACCAGGACACUCAAGCUCCAGCUUGUGUGUGUGUGCGUGGGCCGUUCGGGGUUGGAUUUUUGUUUCGUUUUUUGAGUUUCGGAGAUGGGGGCGGCGAUUUUACC
rnacentral:lncRNA from 1 species